rnacentral:rRNA from 1 species
ACGGGUGAGUACACGUAAGCAACCUGCCUUUAAGACGAGAAUAACAAUUGGAAACAGUUGCUAAGGCUGGAUAGGAAAUAAAAAGGAAUCUUUUUAUUUUUAAAAGACCUUUUUCGGAAGGUAUGCUUAAAGAGGGGCUUGCGUCACAUUAGUUAGUUGGUAGGGUAAAGGCCUACCAAGACGAUGAUGUGUAGCUGGACUGAGAGGUUGAACAGCCACAUUGGGACUGAGACACGGCCCAAACUCCUACGGGAGGCAGCAGUAGGGAAUUUUCGGCAAUGGAGGAAACUCUGACCGAGCAACGCCGCGUGAACGACGAAGUACUUCGGUAUGUAAAGUUCUUUUAUUGAAGAAGAAACAAUAGUGGAAAAACUAUCUUGACGUUAUUCAAUGAAUAAGCCCCGGCUAACUAUGUGCCAGCAGCCGCGGUAAUACAUAGGGGGCGAGCGUUAUCCGGAAUUAUUGGGCGUAAAGGGUGCGUAGGCGGUUUAAUAAGUCUCUAGUUUAAUUUCAACGCUUAACGUUGUCCUGCUAGAGAAACUGUUUAACUAGAGUGAGAUAGAGGUAAGCGGAAUUCCAUGUGUAGCGGUAAAAUGUGUAAAUAUAUGGAGGAACACCAGAGGCGUAGGCGGCUUACUGGGUCUUUACUGACGCUGAUGCACGAAAGCGUGGGGAGCAAACAGGAUUAGAUACCCUGGUAGUCCACGCCGUAAACUAUGAGUACUAAGUGUCGGGGUUAAACUCGGUACUGAAGUUAACACAUUAAGUACUCCGCCUGAGUAGUACGUACGCAAGUAUGAAACUUAAAGGAAUUGACGGGAUCCCGCACAAGCGGUGGAUCAUGUUGUUUAAUUCGAAGAUACACGAAAAACCUUACCAGGUCUUGACAUACUCUGCAAAGCUAUAGAAAUAUAGUGGAGGUUAUCAGGGGAUACAGGUGGUGCAUGGUUGUCGUCAGCUCGUGUCGUGAGAUGUUAGGUUAAGUUCUAAAACGAGCGCAACCCCUGUCGUUAAUUGCCAGCACGUUAUGGUGGGGACUUUAGCGAGACUGCCAAUGAAAAAUUGGAGGAAGGUGGGGAUUACGUCAAAUCAUCAUGCCCCUUAUGAUCUGGGCUACAAACGUGAUACAAUGGCUAUUACAAAGAGUAGCUGAAACGCGAGUUUUCGGCAAAUCUCAAAAAAAUAGUCUCAGUUCGGAUUGAAGUCUGCAACUCGACUUCAUGAAGUUGGAAUCGCUAGUAAUCGCGAAUCAGCAUGUCGCGGUGAAUACGUUCUCGGGGUUUGUACACACCGCCCGUCAAACCACGAAA